CCUACGGGAGGCAGCAGUGGGGAAUUUUGGACAAUGGGCGCAAGCCUGAUCCAGCAAUGCCGCGUGCAGGAUGAAGGCCUUCGGGUUGUAAACUGCUUUUGUACGGAACGAAACGGCGAGCUCUAAUAAAGUUCGCUAAUGACGGUACCGUAAGAAUAAGCACCGGCUAACUACGUGCCAGCAGCCGCGGUAAUACGUAGGGUGCAAGCGUUAAUCGGAAUUACUGGGCGUAAAGCGUGCGCAGGCGGUGAUGUAAGACAGAUGUGAAAUCCCCGGGCUCAACCUGGGACCUGCAUUUGUGACUGCAUCGCUAGAGUACGGUAGAGGGGGAUGGAAUUCCGCGUGUAGCAGUGAAAUGCGUAGAUAUGCGGAGGAACACCGAUGGCGAAGGCAAUCCCCUGGACCUGUACUGACGCUCAUGCACGAAAGCGUGGGGAGCAAACAGGAUUAGAUACCCUGGUAGUCCACGCCCUAAACGAUGUCAACUGGUUGUUGGGUCUUCACUGACUCAGUAACGAAGCUAACGCGUGAAGUUGACCGCCUGGGGAGUACGGCCGCAAGGUUGAAACGUCAAAGGAGUAGUAGGACGUGAGAGNGCGACGGACGACGACGAGGGAGGGAGGAG
rnacentral:rRNA from 1 species